UUCCCCACACGCCUCCCUGGCAGGAGGUCGUCCCGCGGCCUGCGCCCGCCCUGAGGGGAAAUGCGCAGCCGGGACCUGGCGCGGGAUGGCGGCGGGAAGGAGAGAGGCGCGACAGGCCGGACGCUGAGGAGACUGAGAGGAGCAAGCAAACUGCAGCUCUUCUCUAGAUAGGGUGCUCCCCUGGAACAGGGGCAUUCCCCGCUGCCACUGCUGGUUUUUGCCUAAGUGCCCCUUUAUGUGUAGUAUGUGGUGUUUCAGCUGAAGACUAGAGUGAAAAAAGAACCCAAAUCCAUUGGCAAGGCUGGCAGUAACCCCCCAGCUAUCACAAGUGAAAACCCCACUAUGUUGUCUUGCAGAACUGAUUUACAGUGUGUCAUAAUGCUUAAAACACAUCACAAAUACUUAUUGCUUUCAGGUGGUGAAGACCACCACUUGUAAGAUCCCUCCUCAGCAGUUUUACGUAAUGUUAUUAUUGCACUAAAAUGCUUGGUUUGGGUCCUGGAGCAAUGCACAGCUUUGAGUCAGAAGGCAUCUGGAGGUUACAGCAUUCCCACAAUCAAGUUUAGAAAGAAAUUAAUAAACAGAAAUGGUUU